UUCAUUAUCUGUUAGUUUUUCUUGUUUACGGCUUUACGCUCUUACCUUUUCAAGUUCCUUGCUUACUGUCUUUGGUUUACACCAACUCCUAUGAUAAGUAAUAUAUGCUAACAUCCUGUUUUUGUUUUUUUUUUUAAUCUGAAAUUGAACAGAAUUAUAGUGGAUUAUAUACUUUGUAUUAUAACAUAUUUACUUCAAACAUUAUAUGAAGUGCAAGUUUCCUGUAAUCAUGAUCUUAAGUUCAGACGAAUAUGAUAUGACUUGUCCGAGUCAACUUGGAUUCCAUUGUACCAGAUCCAGUUCAAUACUGCGAGUCGUCCUCGACUCAAUGAGUUGCGACUCAAGUCGAGACAAGAUGAAUCAGGCCGAGUCUUAAAUCCAUGUAUGCAACAUACCUACUUGACUCAAUACCCAAGCGAACCGAGUCAACUCGAAAAGACUUGAAAAAAUACGAUAUUCUCGUAAAAAAACAUUAUUAAUUAGAAAACCGGUGAAAAUUUCAGAACACUGAUAAAAGGGGAAAUUUAGUAAAAUUGGAAAAAAAAAACAUCUGAAACUAUUCACCACUACCACCACCACCACCACUACCAUCACGAUCACCACCACUAUCAUCAGAGAUUAGAUUUGCGGGGGAGGGAGGGGGGACAAAGGGCAUUCUUUUUUCCUUCCUCUUCAUCAUUUGAGAUCUAACAGAGAGUGUUCAUCAUUUUGAGAUCCUAGAGGAAUUGAGACUUGAAGGGAAAGUACUUGAAGGGUGAGUUUCUCAGAGAUUUGUUUUGUGAGGGAGAUUGCCGACCCCAAGUAGUUGGGAUAAGGUUUUGAUGAUGAUGAUUUUUUGGGAGAUUCAAAGGAGGAUUUUGCAAGAAUGGGCUUCCAUUUUUUAUUUUUUUCUGUCUCCAUUUGUCCACUAUUGGAGAUAUUAGACAGUGCUUUUAUUCUUCAUCCCUACUUGUCCAUCAUUUGAGAUCUUAGAGAGUGCUUCUUUUUUUUUUUCUUCGUCUCCAUUCAUCCGCCAUUUGAGACAUAGAGAGAGUGUUUUUCCAUCGUUUCCAUCCAUCCACCAUUUUAGAUCUCAGAGAGAGUGAUUCUAGUUCUUCUUCGUCUCAAAAUCUUAAAGGAGAUGAUUUGGGAUUUCAUCUAAGUUAGCUCUUUUCCUAUUUGAUGAAAGACUCACAUUUUGGAGUAUUUGUAACUCCGUUACAAUUUGGGUUUGUAUGCAUAGCUUGUAUCUUACUGUUUUCUUUUCGUUUUUUUUUUUUUUCAAAUGUCCUUAUCAUUUCUUGGAAGAAAUAAAUUUAUAACUUUUGGUAUAUCAUAGGAAUUAAAAGCUAAUACAUGAAGAUUGUCAAUUGUGAACAGAAGCAUUAUAUUCUGUGUAUAAUAAUUUGUAAUGAGCUAUCUAACGUAUCUAACGAGAUUACUGCAUUUUACUGUUUUUGGAUGCACAAAUGGACCCACAUUGUAAUUAUCAAUCUGAUAAGGUGGAAAUCUCCAAAUUGUAAUUUCGUUCCCUAGUGUUGAUUUUGAAGGUUUCAACUCCAAAUUGCAAUUGUGCUACUUUCAAGUUGGACGUGGAUGGGGUUACUUCCUCACCGCAAAUGCUAGGAAAAAAAAAUAAUCAUAAAUGUUAUAUCAUUUCCCCUUUUACUUAGGGGUCGUUUGGAUGGUGGUAAAUGAGGCAAGUUGUAAAUGAUUUACUAGUUAAUCAUUUACAACUUGCGUUUGGAUUCCCUAAAAUGCUUGUAAAUCAUUUAUUAGUUGUGAAUGAUUUACCACCUUUUUCUCCUUUUCAUUCGCUAGCAAAAAGCUGGGAUUUCAUUUGCCAGCAAAUGAUUUACCUGCAAGAAGCCUCCUAUGACUCUUUUUUUGAAGGCUGGGAGAUACGCACCUCCCUCUCUCCAUUGUAUCCGAGAACUACAAUGGCUCUCUCUCUCUCUCUCUCUCUCUCUCUCUCUCUCUCUCUCUCUCUCUCGCCCCCCUCUCUCCCUCCCUCCCUCCCUCCCUCCCUCCACCAACGACAACAGAUCUCGCUACCAGCCUUAUAAAAGAGCAUUUGAAUUCGUGGGCCUACUUUAUGGCUCACCUACCGCUUGGUUUUAUAUGAGGAUCAACCCUAAGCUUUACUUAGAUGGGCUUAACCCAAAGAAUGAUCCACUUAAAAUCCACUCUCAUAUGGCAUUUGAAUGUUUUUUUAAAGAAUUAGUUCUCUAAACUAUCUCAAGUGAAUACACAAUUACAGGAUAUAAACCAUUUACAGGCUAUCCAAACAUUGUAAAUGAUUUACUAGUAAAUCAUUUACAACUUAAAGCCUUACAGCCAAUGCUGUCAAAUGGCAUAAGCAAUCCUGUACGAUAUCUUAUGCCUGAUCGCUUAUGCCAUCGCACAAUCGCACGCAUAAGUGAUUGCACUUUUUUUUUU